AACGUAGGUUCCGAGCGUUAUCCGGAUUUACUGGGCGUAAAGCGCGUUCAGGCGGUUGGGCAAGUCGGGCAUGAAAUCUCUGGGCUCAACCUGGAGAGGUUGUCCGAUACUGCCGAACUGGAGGGCAGUAGAGGGUGGUGGAAUUCCGGGUGUAGUGGUGGAAUGCGUAGAGAUCCGGAGGAACACCAGUGGCGAAAGCGGCCACCUGGACUGCACCUGACGCUGAAACGCGAAAGCUAGGGGAGCGAACGGG
rnacentral:rRNA from 1 species